rnacentral:rRNA from 1 species
UGGGGAAUAUUGGACAAUGGGGGAAACCCUGAUCCAGCAAUGCCGCGUGAGUGAAGAAGGCCUUAGGGUUGUAAAGCUCUUUCGCCCGCGAAGAUAAUGACGGUAGCGGGAGAAGAAGCCCCGGCUAACUCCGUGCCAGCAGCCGCGGUAAUACGGAGGGGGCUAGCGUUGUUCGGGAUUACUGGGCGUAAAGCGUACGUAGGCGGAUGCGCAAGUUGGGGGUGAAAUCCCGGAGCUUAACCUCGGAAUUGCCCUCGAAACUGCACGUCUUGAGACCGAGAGAGGUAAGGGGAAUUCCUAGUGUAGAGGUGAAAUUCGUAGAUAUUAGGAAGAACACCAGUGGCGAAGGCGCCUUACUGGCUCGGUACUGACGCUGAGGUACGAAAGCGUGGGGAGCAAACA